UAAAUCCAACCCUUAAAUAGAUUAAAAAUUUAUAGUUAUACUCUCUUUUUGGUCAUUUAUAAGAAAAUAUAAAAUAAAAAAUAAACUGUUAAUUAAGAAGCUUCUUGUAAAAUCCCUAAACUUUGGUCACUCUAUGAUCUUCCAAAUUCCUCUAAAUGACAAUUCCUAGAAGUCCUAUAAGGUCUCGUAACCAACAUCUCUGCUCCAUUCUACUACAAUAUUUUAGUUAUGGUGUUCAAUUAUGAUACGAUAGUGGUGCGACAUCGAACUAGGGUAUUUAAUUUUUGCUUUUUUCUUUUUAUAUGACUGAUUUGAUUAUCAUGUUCGUGGUAUUCAUUUAUACAAUUUAGGUUCUAGUUAUUCUUUUUGUGGCAAAAUAUGACAUAUUUUCUCUUGAUGGUGGUAGUCCUAACCCUGCUUAUACUUCUCGAUUCAUGGCUUGACCGGGAGUUAUUUGAACUCCUUAUUUUUCUGCUCAUGGGUUACAUUUGUUUAUGUUGGUGCUAGUAUCCCCUUUGAUUUGUGUUGCUAUUGAUUUUUGUUGGUGGUACUUUAAAAAAAGAGAUAGAAAUACGUCUUGUUUUUUGAAAGAUUAUCUUCAGACUAUUCCACUUUAAUUUAGAGGUACAUCCAUUAUAUAUUAAAUUAAUGAGUAUGUCUUUCCCCAAUCAUUUUAAUCAUAUUUUGUGUUUUAACAUCUAUUUGAUUGAAUGUUCACGUUUUUGUUAUGACUUAUAUAAUGGGUAGUUGACAAAACGAUCUUGUAUUCACUGACAUUUUUUUCUUUCCUUUGAAGAUAAGCUUAGAAAUUUUUAAAUUUAGUUUUCUAGUGCUUCUUUUUUCUUCUGUGUUCAAGUCAUGACUUGUGAUCUUUUUAUCUUUUAUUUCUUGCUUAAUUUCAUUUCUUUUCUUAGUUUCCUUCGGAUACUUUUUCCAGUUGUGUUUAGUAUUGAUAGAGUUCUUCAGUGAAGUGUAUGUUUUAGCUCAUAUUUUGGUUUCAAAUUAAAUCUCCUAAGGACAUUACAUUUUGGAUUUCUGUUUGAAAAUACAGAGCAUUGUAAUAAUUUUUGUUUCAUAAUUUAGUUAUCUGAAUUUCUUUCUGGAAAUUCAAAGUGUUGUCACCUUAAACUCGGGACAAAGAGGACCCUUCUUGGUUUAUUUAUCAUUAGAAUGUUUCUUGUUAUCACAUUGUGUCUUCUUAAAUGGAUUUAUAUUUGACAAGGAAACCUUGUUUUGUACAGAUCUUGGGGAUUGCAAAUUAUUUUCUUCAGAUGGAUUUUGCGCAGCACUCAUGUAUGGUGCAUCAUUCCUAAUAGGACGUGUUCUAUUAGAAGCACGCCUCUCAGUCGCCAGAGCAAAUGGCUGGGGAACAUUGUACUUUGGGUUACAACUUCCAGCAACAGAUUUGGCUACUGGUUUCACUGAAGUUCUUAGUCUUCUGUUAUCAUCUUUUACUUUUGUACUUGGUUGAUCUUGUUCUUGUCUGCUCUCAACUAGAAUUUCAGUUGUGUAUUCCUUCGUUACAUAAUACUCCCUUUCAACAUUCUCAUUCAGAAUAUCAUUUCUCUACUCCCCAGUGACAUACUCAGGUGACUGCGACACAUCUAGAUUACCGUCUAUCAAGUAAUUUGAAUCCGGGAAACACAUCUGAGUAACUUAUUUUGCCACCCUGCUCCUUUUCCAUACAAGUAUGUGUAACUUCUAACCCCAUCAACCUCCUUAACAAGAAGGUGAAAGUUUAGGUAACCAUCUAAGCUAUCAGUAAUCGAACUUGAAACACACUUUAUAAUGCAACAUCCAUCUCAUUCAAAUCCUUAAAACCAUACAAAGAAAGAUACAAGACACUAAAGAAUAGUAGCAUAUUUUGGUUUUACCUAGUGAGCUAAAAUUCAUCUGCAGUGUCGUUAUAGAUGUCCUCUUGCUUAAUAUAACGUUUAGUGCCUAUUAUUGCUGCAGUAGUUAACUUUGCUUACGCACUUUUAAACAAAUUUGUAGAUCCAAAUGUGUGUGAACGUGGAGGUGGUGGAUUGUGAUAAAUUCUAAUGUGAAACUUUGAUCUUUGUUGUUGUUGAUACAUCGAUAGUUUUGCUAGUUGAUGGGAGUUCUUACAAAGAAAGGAGAAUGAAGUUGGUACUAUAUCAUUCAAGUGAGUAUAUGCCUUUGCCUCUUGUUAUAACUUGUAUUUAUAAAGUUUGCACUAUUAUACUAAAACAACUAUUUCGUUGAAAUGACACAUUAUUGUAAAAAGAGGUUAUCUCACCACUUAAAACUCUCUUAUAUUGAUUCCACAAAGGUAAGAACUACGAUUUCUAAUUUUUAUUUGAUAUAUGCCUUUGGAUAUUUCUGAUAUCCCAUUCUCUGUGUAGUUUGUAGUUACUUUGAAAAUUUAGCUCAUAUUCCCAUUAAAUAUUGUUAUAGUGCAAUGAUUCAUUUUCCACAUUUCUUGCAUGAUAGAAAUCAAAGAUUCAACUCUAAGAGGAUAUUUUAAGAUUUAAUCGGCUGUAAAAAAUAGAAACAAUAACAACAAUGCCUCUAUCUAAAGUUAGUUUGAGUUGGUUGUAUGAAUCAUCACUAUCAAAAGAUUUAAUUACCACUAAUAAUAAUAGUUUUUUUGUUGCUUCUUUCAUUUCAAUGUUAUUUCAUCUGCAUCACUAAAUGCAUCAAACUGGAAUUUCUUUCCUAUAGGAAAAUAGGAUAAAUUUGAACAGAAAUGGUAGUGGUCCUCUCCGGUCUACUAUAGUGACUACAUGUAUUGUCGAAUAUAACAAGAAUUUGUGUAUAAAAGUGUGUGCCAAUUUUCUUGAACCAUAUUUUGAUUUCAACUUUUUGUUUAUAUUCUUUUAGCUCAUUUUACAUUGAUUUUUUGAUUGCUAAAUGGUAAUAGCUACACUUAAAAGAAUGUGCCAGGUGAACUCUUCAAUCUUUGUUAGAUGUAAACUUGUAAAAAUAUAUUUAGAAACAGUUUUCUAAUAAAUGUGUAUAUAUUAUAUCUUUUUCAGGCAUUGAAUAGUUUUGUUAACAAGUGAAGUUGCAGAAAAAAAAAGACGUAGAUACAUGUUGACAAGUGUUAGGUGAACACUUGAUAUCGUUUGUAAAUAAAUGUUGGAUUUCUCAAGGAGUUUUGUAAACAAUAUAAUGAAUAUAUACUUGUAAUAGUUUUAAUUAUGAGAUUCAAUCCAAAAAUUUUUUGUAUACAUGUGAUUGUUUGUAUUAUAAAUUGUGUACCAUUGU
rnacentral:lncRNA from 1 species